rnacentral:rRNA from 1 species
UACGUAGGGUGCGAGCGUUGUCCGGAAUUAUUGGGCGUAAAGAGCUCGUAGGCGGUGUGUCGCGUCGGUCGUGAAAACUUGGGGCUUAACCCUGAGCUUGCGGUCGAUACGGGCAUCACUGGAGUUCGGCAGGGGAGACUGGAAUUCCUGGUGUAGCGGUGAAAUGCGCAGAUAUCAGGAGGAACACCGGUGGCGAAGGGGGGUCUCUGGGCCGAUACUGAGCGCUCAGGCACGAAAGCGUGGGGAGCAAACAGG